rnacentral:rRNA from 1 species
UACUACAGAGGUGCAAAGGGUUGUCGCUGACCUUUCCAAAAGGUCGUGCACGCCCGAGCGCUCUCAAUCCAUUUCACCCCUUGUGCAUCACCGCGCGGGGUCGCUCCCUCUUGGCUUGCUUCGAGAGGGGGAGGCUCGCGUUUUUCACACACAAACACCCUUCUAGUUUAGAAUGUCAUUCAUUUGCGAUCACACGCAAUCAAUACAACUUUCAACAACGGAUCUCUUGGCUCUCGCAUCGAUGAAGAACGCAGCGAAAUGCGAUACGUAAUGUGAAUUGCAGAAUUCAGUGAAUCAUCGGAUCUUUGAACGCAUCUUGCGCCCCUUGGUAUUCCGAGGGGCACACCCGUUUGAGUGUCGUGAAAUUCUCAAACCUUCUUGGUUUCUCGAUCAAGAUGGCUUUGGACUUUGGAGGCAUUUUGCUGGCUUUGCGAAAAGCCAGCUCCUCUUAAAUACAUUAGUGGGGUCCCCUUUGCCGAUCCCCAGGCGUGAUAAGAUGUUUCUACGUCUUGNNAUUUGCUCUGUUCCUUGGGAACCCGCUUAUAACCGUCUCAUGGGAGACAUCGUUCGAGCAUGCUCGACCCACGAACCUUG